GACGAACCGAGCGAACGUUGUUCGGAAUAACUGGGCUUAAAGGGCGCGUAGGCGGCACGGCAAGUCAGGAGUGAAAGCCCUGGGCUCAACCCGGGAACUGCUUUGAAACUGCCGAGCUAGAGUGCGGAAGGGGCAACUGGAAUUCCCAGUGUAGCGGUGAAAUGCGUAGAUAUUGGGAAGAACACCUGAGGCGAAGGCGGGUUGCUGGGCCGACACUGACGCUGAGGCGACGAAAGCCAGGGGGAGCGAACGGG
rnacentral:rRNA from 1 species